ACUCCUACGGGAGGCAGCAGUGAGGAAUAUUGGUCAAUGGAGGCAACUCUGAACCAGCCAUGCCGCGUGCAGGAAGACUGCCCUAUGGGUUGUAAACUGCUUUUUAUACGGGAAGAAACAGUCCUACGUGUAGGACCUUGACGGUACCGUAAGAAUAAGCACCGGCUAACUCCGUGCCAGCAGCCGCGGUAAUACGGAGGGUGCAAGCGUUAUCCGGAAUCAUUGGGUUUAAAGGGUCCGCAGGCGGUCAAUUAAGUCAGAGGUGAAAUCCCACAGCUUAACUGUGGAACUGCCUUUGAUACUGGUUGACUUGAGUUAUACGGAAGUAGAUAGAAUGUGUAGUGUAGCGGUGAAAUGCAUAGAUAUUACACAGAAUACCGAUUGCGAAGGCAGUCUACUACGUAUAUACUGACGCUCAUGGACGAAAGCGUGGGAGCGAACAGGAUUAGAUACCCCUGGUAGGAUAGCG
rnacentral:rRNA from 1 species